rnacentral:lncRNA from 1 species
GAAAUCCUGGGAGUUGUAGCUCAGGAAGUUAAGUAGAAACACUGCAGAAGGGAAAGAUGGAGGGUGCGAGGGGCAUGACCAAGGCUGAGUCAGUUAAGUCUCUCUGAGGCCACCUAAAGAAAGAGGGAGCACACUUAGAACUGAUGCUUAAGAACUCAGCUCCUGAGCUCUGCCAGCUGCGCGCUGUGCAUAGAGAUGGCGCCUGUCUGAGAAAAGAGAGUCACAGACAGCACAGAAAAGCUUUAACUCAGCCAGGCCUGCUGAGUGAUAAAAUGUCGAAGCAGAAUCUUCUGGAGUCUACAGAUUUCAGUUCUGGAAGCACAAUGAGGCUGAAAUGGUGUCAUUGCCAACUGGAGGAUGGAGCUUUACACGCUGAUCAGCUCAAGUUGGAGUUAGUGGUCUCUGGGAAUAAAAAAGUGUUGUCAGGAUGGAGCUAAAGAAGAAGGGAGACCACAUGGCAAAAGAGUGCUGGGUUGAUACUUGAUAAAGGAGCAGGCUCUAUUUGAAUUCGGGCCUACAGUGAUAUCUGAGAGGAACUGAGGAAUUUUAUGGAUAAGACAUGAAGGAGGGUGUAGAGAGCCGUCUUGGUCAUGGUUUCUAUUGCUGUGAUAAAAUACCACAACCAAAACCAAGUUGAAGAGGAUUUAUUUUAGGUUACAGUUCUCAAGUCAUACUCCAUCACUGAGGAAAGUCAGGGAACACACUCAAGGCAGUAACCUGAAGGUAGGAGCUGAAGAGGCACAGCUUUCCCCAUAUGCUUGCUCAGCCUGCUUUCUUAUAGUACCUAGGACAACCUCCCCAAUAGUGGCACUGUCCACCAAGAGCUUGGCCCUCCCAUAUCAAUCAGUACUUUUUAAAAAGGUACUACAGGCUUGCCCACAAGCCAGUCUAGUGGGGGCAUUUUCUCAAUUGAGGUUCCCUCUUUCAAAAUGACUCUCACUGUGUCAAGCUGACAUAAAAUUAGCCAACACAGGGAAUAACCCAAGAUGCACUUCUGAAUGCUGAAUAUUGUUAAGCUUUCAAAUAUGCUUGCCACUUGAAAGAAAUAAAUAUACUGUCACAUGGCAGUCUUGAUUUAUAUUCCCCCCAUCACUAAUGGAGUCAACUACCACUUAAAUAUUUACAAUUAUUGAUUCCCUCCAUAUGAAAUACAUAAAUAGAAUAAUACCUGGAAAAAAAUAAAAUUAGAACCUUUUACCAUAUCAUAUACACACUUAAUUUUAGAUGGUUUAAAAGUUGAAACAAAGAAUAUAAUUCGAUUCUUGGACCUCACAGUAGAAGGAGAGAAUCUGACUUUCUCCUUUGACCUCCAUAAAUGGGCCAUGGCAUACACCAGCACUCCCUGCCUGCCCCCAUGUUAAUAGUGAAUACCAUACAAUACCAUACCAUACAAUACAAUACAAUACAAUACAAUACAAUACAAUACAAUACAAUACAAUACAAUACAAUACAAAAAA